UUCGAGUGAAAUGGAUUUCCGCCUAAAGAGAAGCUUGCGGCUGAUUAGCUUGUUGGUGAGGUAAUGGCUCACCAAGGCGACGAUCAGUAUCUGGUUUGAGAGGACGAUCAGACACACUGGAACUGAGACACGGUCCAGACUCCUACGGGAGGCAGCAGUGGGGAAUUUUCCGCAAUGGGCGAAAGCCUGACGGAGCAAUACCGCGUGAGGGAUGACGGCCUAUGGGUUGUAAACCUCUUUUUUCAGGGAGGAAUCAAUGACGUGUACCUGAAGAAUAAGCAUCGGCUAACUCCGUGCCAGCAGCCGCGGUAAGACGGAGGAUGCAAGUGUUAUCCGGAAUCACUGGGCGUAAAGCGUCUGUAGGUGGUUUAAUAAGUCAACUGUUAAAUCUUGAGGCUCAACCUCAAAAUCGCAGUCGAAACUAUUAGACUAGAGUAUAGUAGGGGUAAAGGGAAUUUCCAGUGGA
rnacentral:rRNA from 1 species